rnacentral:rRNA from 1 species
GGAUUAGAUACCCUGGUAGUCCACGCCGUAAACGAUGUCUACUAGUUGUGCGGUGGUCUUGUACUGCUGGUAACGCAGCUAACGCGAUAAGUAGACCGCCUGGGGAGUACGGCCGCAAGGUUAAAACUCAAAUGAAUUGACGGGGGCCCGCACAAGCGGUGGAGCAUGUGGUUUAAUUCGAAGCAACGCGAAGAACCUUACCUGGCCUUGACAUCCUGCGAACUUUCUAGAGAUAGAUUGGUGCCUUCGGGAGCGCAGAGACAGGUGCUGCAUGGCUGUCGUCAGCUCGUGCCG